UACAUGGGGUGCAAACGUUGCUCGGAAUUAUUGGGCGUAAAGCGCACGUAGGCGGUUUGUUAAGUCGGAUGUGAAAUCCCUCGGCUCAACUGAGGAAGUGCAUCCGAAACUGGCAAGCUUGAGUACGAAAGAGGGUCGCGGAAUUCCCGGUGUAGAGGUGAAAUUCGUAGAUAUCGAGAGGAACACCGGUGGCGAAGGCGGCGAUCUGGACGAUGACUGACGCUGAGACGCGAAAGCGUGGGGAGCAAACAGG
rnacentral:rRNA from 1 species